rnacentral:lncRNA from 1 species
UGGCGCAGAGCGGGCAGGUCAUCCCCCUCCCCACCUGGCAGGAGUCAGGCUUACGCAGGCCUGUCCCCCCGACCCCCCAGCCUAGAGCGUGCCCGUGCCUGCCACACCCACCAAGGGCUAUGCUGGGCUCUUAGCAGGUGCUCAGUGAACACACACCAAUUGAGUUCCUAAGCACCGGGACGGAGAACCGGCCCCAAGAAGGCCCACCUAGCGGGAAGGCAGCCGAGCGAGGCUGGGAGAUCGGAGUCGCUCCUCUGAGUCCUUAAAUCACGACCAGUGAAUGACGGGGAGGCUCAAGGACACAGUCCACCCGAGAUGCAAAGGGGCUUUGCGCCAGGACGGCGUUUCCUCGAGUCCCCAGAUCAUCGAUUUCGUCAAAUGGCCCAUGUUGACCAAAAGGUACCUUUGGCUAAACCAUCUGCCCCAAGCAAGGCCUGGUGCCCUACUCUUUCCAUCUGGAAGUGGAUUCAAUCCCCACGACUGUCACGGGGGCAGGUGACAUGCGACCAUGUGUGGUUCACUCUCUGGACUCCACGAACCGCGGCCCACUCUGCCCGCCCAGGGCCUGUGGGUCUGGUCAUUACACCCCCACCCCCACCCGCCCCCGUCCUGGGCUCUGCCUCCCAGAGCAAUGGCCUUCCACGGCGUCUCCGCUGCCGAACCCCCUAGCGUGGGACACCCGGCCGCUGUGAGCUUCCCGGGCAGAGCCAGCUUGUCCCUUGUCAGGCCUGUUCACCGCCCCGGUUUGCAUCCAUGCCCGUAGUGUUGAAUGAAUGAAUGAGCCCUACGGGUCUCAGUUUCCCUAACUAUAAAGUGGGGGCGUUAGAUUAGCCCCAGUGGCUUCUUCUCCAGUGAGGCCUUGCCACCAGCACCCCCAGUGUCUCAUGUCCCACCUGGACCUUCCCCAAACUGUAGACCUGUUGCUUCCUCCUGGGAUUCAGAUAUUCUUCACCUCCUGACCCUCCUUGAACUCAAGAGACAGGGAGCCUCACCACCCCCCCCCCCCCCCCCCGCUAACUGGCUGAAUGCCAGAAAGUGACUCUGGGAGGAGGGUUCGAGGCCUGCCCGAGGUCACGGCAAGUCUGUGGCAUCAGAACUCGGAUCUCGU